rnacentral:lncRNA from 1 species
AUGACGCGUGCCCGCCCGGCUCUCGGAGAGGGACCCGGAGAGCCCGUCUGGCAGCCGCGGCCCGGGCUGGCCACCUCUACCCAGCACGCCGGGCAGGGCGCAUGCGCGCUUAUUAAUAUUCAUGAGAGGGCGUGCUCACCCAGGACACGCACCUCCCAUUCACGUUGCUGGGGAGGGGGUAGUGCGGGGAGGAACUUGGAAGGGGUUGGGGGCUCGGGGAUGCUUAGGGCGGCAAAGAAAUACCGGGGCCCCAUAGCAACCCCUGUUCUCGGGAGCUUCGGGCCAGGAGGGAAGGGAGAGUGCGGGGAGGUACUUGGAAGGGAUGGUUGCUUAGGGACGCCUGGAGGCCCCCAGCGGGGACCGCCCCCUCGGGCGCCCGGGACCGGGAGCCUUUGCCCGCGCGUCGGGGCCCCAGGUGUAGGCGCCGCGGCGCUGGCGGAGCGGUCGGAGCGGGGCAGCUUCCGCCUUCCGAGCCGCCUGCGUCAGCUGCGGCUUUCGCCCCGGGAGGAGGGCCUGCCUGCCCGCCGGGAGUUCGGCCCGCUUCCCGCGAGCGAGCCGCCCAGAGCGCUCUGCUGGCGGCAGAGGCGGCGGCGAGGCUGGCGCGCUUGCCGCCGUCUGCUCGCCCCGCGGAGGCGACCUGGGCAGACGCUGCUGGGAACUUUGAAAAACUUUCCUGGAGCCAGGCUUGCCGCAGAUUCGAGGGGAAGCCUCGGCCGCGCCCCACUCCCUCCCAAAUCCGAGUCUGCGGAGCCUGGGAGGGCUCCCAGCGUCCUUUCCAAACCGCGCCGGGGCAGAGGCGCAGGGAAACCGGGGGUAGAAGGCGGUGGGCACGCCGGGGCCGUGUUCAGGCUUUGGGAAGGGCCGGCGGAGAUGCUGGUGGGCUUGGAAGCCCUCCCCGGCCCGCCGCCCCGGCCGCAGUGCCGGUAUUGCACCUGUAGGCGGCCUCCGAGCUGCUCUCUGGGUGGCAAGGGGCCUGGAAGGGACCGUGUCCCCACCACCGCCAGCCGCGGAACUUGCCUUCUCUGGGGUGGCAGUGGAAACCGAUACUGUUUUCCACCUUGA